CAGCCAUCCAUCUAGAGAGGGUAGAGAGAGAGGGAGGCGAGCUAGAGAGAGAGAAAGGAAGGCUGCCAUAUUUUUCUAGAGAAGAAGAAGAAAAGAAAGAGAAGGAGAAGGAGAAGAGGGUUUCGAACCCUAGGUGACAAGGUUUUCUUGCUAGAGUGUUCUUGAUUCAACAAUCAAGAGAGGCUUGUUGAGAGGUUGUGAAUUUACUUAGCUCAGACCUGAGGUAAGGAAGUUAGAUAGAUUCUAUGAUUUUAUGAUAUGAAUGGUAAGACUAUUGUAUGAAUGAAUCGUUAUGAAUUAUGAAUGUCAUAAUGAUAUGAUAUGUGGCUUGUAUGAAUAUGAUAUGUUUAUGAAUGGAUGUUAGCCUGAUGAACGCGACACAUCAAAUGAGUUUCUAAGGAUAUAAAGACGUAACUCCUAUGUUUAUGAAUGGAUGUUAGCUUGAUGAACGCGACACAUCAAAUGGGUUGCUAAGGAUAUAAAGACGUAACCCGAGUUACUAAGGAUAUAAAGACGUAACUCCUAGGGCGGACGCGCCAAGGUUAUUCAAGGACCAGAGACUCUUCUUUACCUCAUAAGGUGACAUGGACAAGUUAGCGGGCCAUGUUCAUCAUGAAUGAUGUAGCAAAUAGGAUUUCUCUGUGGCACGCGUGGUGACGUGAGGAGUUCUAUCGUCGUAGGGUGUAUGGCGUGGGGUAUCCUAUGGACAGAAUAAACGAUCACUUUAGGACGCCAUUUUAAUUAUGUUAUGUUUUAAGAGACUUUCUAAAUUAUCAGUGGGACUUAAUUAUUUAAUAUUGUUUCUUUUGAACUUUGCAUAAAAACUCAUAUUUUCUUUUUAAACUAAUGGGCCCAACUUGCAUUGUUUUAAGCAAGUCCCCACUGAGACCUUUAUAAAAAGUUGUUUUCUUUAUGAACCAACGAUAUGUGAAUGUUUUAAUAAGUACUAG